rnacentral:rRNA from 1 species
AAAACCCCGCAAGGGGUUAUUAGAGUGGCGAACGGGUGAGUAACACGUGGGUGACCUACCUUCGAAUGGGGGAUAACGUCCCGAAAGGGACGCUAAUACCGCAUAACAUCCUGCUUUUGAAAAGGUGGAGAUCAAAGCCGGGGAUCGCAAGACCUGGCGUUUGAAGAGGGGCCCGCGUCUGAUUAGCUAGUUGGUGAGGUAACGGCUCACCAAGGCAACGAUCAGUAUCCGGCCUGAGAGGGCGGACGGACACACUGGGACUGAGACACGGCCCAGACUCCUACGGGAGGCAGCAGUGGGGAAUUGUUCGCAAUGGGCGCAAGCCUGACGACGCAACGCCGCGUGGAGGAUGAAGGUCUUCGGAUUGUAAACUCCUGUUGCCCGGGACGAAAUGCUUCGACCUAACACGUCGGAGUUUGACGGUACCGGGUGAGGAAGCCCCGGCUAACUCUGUGCCAGCAGCCGCGGUAAUACAGAGGGGGCAAGCGUUGUUCGGAAUUACUGGGCGUAAAGGGCGCGUAGGCGGCCUUCUAAGUCGAACGUGAAAUCCCCGGGCUCAACCCGGGAACUGCGUCCGAUACUGGAAGGCUUGAAUCCGGGAGAGGGAUGCGGAAUUCCAGGUGUAGCGGUGAAAUGCGUAGAUAUCUGGAGGAACACCGGUGGCGAAGGCGGCAUCCUGGACCGGCAUUGACGCUGAGGCGCGAAAGCCAGGGGAGCAAACGGGAUUAGAUACCCCGGUAGUCCUGGCCCUAAACGAUGAAUGCUUGGUGUGGCGGGUAUCGAUCCCUGCCGUG